UGUUUCGGCUAGGGGGCCAUCCCGGCUUACCAACCCGAUGCAAACUGCGAAUACCGGAGAAUGUUAUCACGGGAGACACACGGCGGGUGCUAACGUCCGUCGUGAAGAGGGAAACAACCCAGACCGCCAGCUAAGGUCCCAAAGUCAUGGUUAAGUGGGAAACGAUGUGGGAAGGCCCAGACAGCCAGGAUGUUGGCUUAGAAGCAGCCAUCAUUUAAAGAAAGCGUAAUAGCUCACUGGUCGAGUCGGCCUGCGCGGAAGAUGUAACGGGGCUAAACCAUGCACCGAAGCUGCGGCAGCGACACUGUGUGUUGUUGGGUAGGGGAGCGUUCUGUAAGCCUGUGAAGGUGUGUCGUGAGGCAUGCUGGAGGUAUCAGAAGUGCGAAUGCUGACAUAAGUAACGAUAAAGCGGGUGAAAAGCCCGCUCGCCGGAAGACCAAGGGUUCCUGUCCAACGUUAAUCGGGGCAGGGUGAGUCGACCCCUAAGGCGAGGCCGAAAGGCGUAGUCGAUGGGAAACAGGUUAAUAUUCCUGUACUUGGUGUUACUGCGAAGGGGGGACGGAGAAGGCUAUGUUGGCCGGGCGACGGUUGUCCCGGUUUAAGCGUGUAGGCUGGUUUUCCAGG
rnacentral:rRNA from 1 species